CGGCUGGCCUGGGAACGCCUCGGUGUCCCCCCGGAAGAGCUAGAGGAAGUGUCUGGGGAGAGGGAAGUCUGGGCAUCCCUGCUUAGACUGCUGCCCCCGCGACCCGGCCCCGGAUAAGCGGAAGAAGAUGGAUGGAUGGAUAGAUUUCCAGAGACUCCAGAAUGAAAACCAAACUCUGAGGGAGGAGAACCAAGCCCUGAGGGAAUGCAAUGCACAAGCAGCUUUGGAUGACAGCGGCUCACUUAAAGAGCAGGUGAAGCAAGUAGGGACAAUGUUGAAGACGUUUGCUCUCACUGGGCAAUCAGGUGCGUUACCUGAAAGGAGCAUCUGACCGUGAAGACAGAAAAAGGUGCCGCACAGCUGAGAAGGACCCACAGCCGACCCCUUAAACCUAGGCUGACUACUGACACCCCAGCAUCACUGAACUGGAACACUUUCAUUAUCCUGCAGUCAGUAACAUCAAGAAGCCAGAACUGCCAGACUACACUCACCAAAUCCACCCUGUUUUCUUUUGUAUUUUAACUUUAGUAUUGGCUUAUUUCAUUCCGUCUUAACGAUUCUAUUAUAGUUUGUAAAUCCUAUUACAUACCUGUUACUUGAUAUUGCACAUUAACUAGUACCAAAAUUCUACUUUCAUUUCAUCAGUGUGCUUAACUGUUAUUCUAUUAAUAAUAGCUUGGAAAUACUAUUUCAUACCUCUGAUACUUGAUAUUGCACAUUACCUGGUACCAAAUAUUCUACUUACUCUGUUUUUAACAUCAGCAUUUUUCAUUCCAUCACAGUGCUUAACUGUUAUUCUAUUGUUAAAUAUAGCUUGUAAAUCCUUGUGCCACAGGUCAGCAUUGCAGUUAUAAUGGUCUGUUCUACUACUGUUUUUACCUCCGUAUUUUUAUAUAAAUAUAUGUCAAGUUUUGUUUAUCACAGAUACAAGAGACACAGAUCUUAUUACAGCACGGUGUAAAUCUUGUGCUCCAGGUCUGCAAUGCCAUUAUAAUGGUCUAUUCUACUCUAGAGCUUUACUCUAAAUUAUUACCAGUUUUCCUAUUGUUAGAAAUGGCUUGAAAAUGUGAUGUUAUACCUCGACUUAUUUGGUAUCCUGCACAUUCUUUGGUACCAAAUAUCCUCAUUACUUGUUAUGUUUACUGGAAAUUAUUAUUUUCACCUGCAUGAUCUGUAGUGUGUAUUUAUAUGUAUAUUUUUUUCUGCCUGUUAUUUCAGUGAUCUGAUACAUCUUGUUUGAAUGACAGUUACUGUAUUGUAGAAUUAAAACACCAAAUGGAA
rnacentral:lncRNA from 1 species